GCCAGGCACAGUGGCGCACACCUGUAAUCCUAGUGGCUUGGAGGCUGAGGCAGGAGGAUCACGAGUUCAAAGCCAGCCUCAGCAAUGGUGAGGCACUAAGCAACUCAGUGAGACACUGUCUCUA
rnacentral:sRNA from 1 species